rnacentral:lncRNA from 1 species
AUCCCUUUAAAAUUUUAAAAAUAUUUAAUUAAAAAAUUAAAUCUCAAAAUAAUAAGUAUAUUUUACUUAUUUUAUUAUUUUAUUAAAAUUGCCGUAUAUUAAGUUUUUACUCUCUAUUCGCAAAAAUUCUUUAAUUUUAUUACUCAUGUAUUAAACUGGACUCUUUUUCGAAAUUACUCCGUAAAAUUUCGUAAUUAAGUAGAUGACUUUAUAAAAAAAAUGCAAAUUAACCCUCCUUUUGCUAACUAAAUGUCAGAAUGAAAUUACCUCUUAAAGAUGGUGAAUUGUUCAUCACCUUCAUGAAGGCGAUGAAUGAUUCACCUCACCGCCUAUUAAAUUUCUCACAAAUGCGAUGAAUCGUUUACCGCCUUCAUGAAGGCGAUAAACAAUAUAUUCACCGCUCUCAAUAGGUUGACACUUAACGCUAUAUAAAACUUUAACUUUGUAGAUGCAUAAGGGUCAAGAAUCGAAGAUACACAAAAGACGGUGAAUGAUACACUCUUUAAUUGCUGUGCAAGAGUUUUGCCUAAAGACGGCAAAUGAUUCACAACCUUUACAGAAGAUGGUGAAUGGUUCACCGAGAUGAAUCAUUCGCCCUUUUCCUUAAAGAUGGUGAAUCAUUCGGCUUAUUUAGGUUAUAAACUUCUAUGCAGUAAUCUAAUAGGGUGAUGACCAAUUUCCCAA